CCUAGUUUAAUUCAAGAAAAUACAUUUAUGCAGUAAAAUUGUUACAUCCAAAACACUGUUGUUCAUAUGCGAAACACGAGGAUCAGCGCAACCACUGAGAGUGGUAAAGGGUAUUUUCGUGAGCCGUGAAUUGCCGAUAUUUGUUCUCAGUCGUGAAAUGUGAAGCCUACAUGCCUAGUCGUGAGCCGUGAUUGUUGGUAAUCUUCGUCCGGGAAACGAGAAUUUAUUUCAGGUCGGUAUAGAACAAAGACUGGACCAAUAUAGUGAGAAAUGCGAACGUGAAGAAGAACUCGUGUUUGUCAGUUCAAAAGAUUUCUACAACCCUAUAUUCGUGCACGGCGAAACAUAAGGUUGCUACCUCAACAAUUCCCUGAUACCUGCAUAUAACAACAACAAAG
rnacentral:lncRNA from 1 species